CCGCCUUCCCGUCUGGAUCCUUCUUUCAGAGGACAAAAAAGGCUCUGCAGACCUCCUGCCAGCCAGAACUGAAAACCCCAGGAAAACAUGAAGGCAAUGUCUCUUUCCAAGGAUAUGUACAGGGUAUAUAAGAAAGUCCCUAAAACAGU